rnacentral:rRNA from 1 species
CGCGUAGGCGGAUAGUUUAGUCAGAGGUGAAAGCCCAGGGCUCAACCUUGGAAAUGCCUUUGAUACUGGCUAUCUUGAGUACGGGAGAGGUGUGUGGAACUCCGAGUGUAGAGGUGAAAUUCGUAGAUAUUCGGAAGAACACCGGUAGCGAAGGCGACACACUGGCCCGUUACUGACGCUGAGGCGCGAAAGCGUGGGGAGCAAACA